GUUCCGUAGGUGAACCUGCGGAAGGAUCAUUAGUGAAUUGAAUAUGUUAGCGGACCUCUUCGGAGUCCCUAGCAUCAAAUCAUAUCCAUAACACCUGUGAACUGUAAGGCCGUCUUGAAAACGAAAGUGAUUAGAGCGCCCGCCCAUUUUAUGCAAACAUUAAGGUAACAAACGUAGUCUUAUUAUAAUCUAAUAAAACUUUCAACAACGGAUCUCUUGGCUCUCGCAUCGAUGAAGACGCAGC
rnacentral:misc_RNA from 1 species